rnacentral:misc_RNA from 1 species
GCUGUGUUAGUGGAUAAGCCUACAGAUACAACAACUUCAUGGUUUAAUUUUGCCAAUGGCAACAGUGAGAACUACUGGCAAUCUGGAGUUCAUGUCGUCAGGACAUACAAUCUUCAGCUAUUUGAAAAUCUAAUGGAGAUUUUCAUAUAAUAUAAUAUACUGGGUCAUUUCACCUUCUUCCAAUCCUAAAAAGGAACCACGGCAUUGCAAAAAGUUCUGUUUUCCAUUAUCACCAAGAAAUGGAAGAACACUAAAACAAAAUGCAACUGACUUGAUGAGAAAACAAUACACAUUCUAGUAAAAUGUUAUGUGCAUUGUAUGGUGGUGCAAUGUGACCAUCGAUGACAGAGUGUUGUAAUGGUUGUGCCUGUAAGUAAACUGCAUUACGUCGAAGCAAAGUGCUCCUACUUCCAUGCUUGCUUGACGAAGCAUACCGAAGAGAACCGCGUCUACAGUUAGAGGUAACAUAGCAAGUGUCUCCACAGAUAGCAGCUACUUCAGGCAAUUCUCCUGACUUUUUCAAGUCAAAAUAUAACAAAUAGCGCCUCAUGAGCUAGCUGUCCUCACACUUACAGAUGUAGCAACUAUGGAUAUCCUGUUAUCUAGUCAGCACUUUUCUUCAGUUCUGUCAGGAGUUUUUUAAACAAAAUCUUUUUUGUUAAAAGCCCCGUUGGCAUCCCCAUCCUUUGCAUUCACAAUGCCAGAGCCAGCAUUACCAUUACUUGAUCUUACUUUGACUUUGCUGUGAACCCAGUGGGAAGAACUGGAAUAUGAAAUUUCUUGUGUGGGAACAUGCAAGCUUUUUUGCCUCUUCACACCUAAGAAUCCACAUUCAAAAGCUUCCAAUGCUCUGGUGGUCAAAGGUCGGUUUCUUCUGCUUUGUCUUCUGGGGUUCAAACUAGGCUGCUCUAUUGCUGGACCAUCAUCAACAGACGCACUCAAUGCCCCAGGAUCAGUCUUGUCUGAAUUGGACAGAAAGCAUUGAUGAUCGGCAUUAGCUCCCGGGCUGCUUUCUAAGUUCAUCAAUGCUGGUUCAUCAUUUUCACAAUCCAAUGAAAAUUGAGGCAGGUUCAGGUCAAUCAAAGAUGGGGUUUGAAGUUUGACAUUUUCCCCAUGCGAUGUUUCCGCACCAAAACAAGUUGCACCCACCAAACCUCCAGUGUUCUCUUCUAGACUGCCUGCAGCUAAGGAAAUGUUUAAUGAUAACUUCUGAGGAGGAUUAACUUGAAAGGUAUUACUGCCCCCCUCUGGAGAUUUCAAAGCAAAGUAAGACCCUUCUUGUUUGGAUCCCAGGCUAACAGAGAAAUUCUCAAUAACAUGGCUUAGCUCUGUAUUACAGCAAGCAGUUAAUCUCCGUCGUUUGACUACAGAAACUAAAUUAUUUGAAUGACCAGAUUUUGGUCUUCGACUGAAUUUCUGCUUAAUAGUCCUUGUUGGCUGAUUUUUAUUUGACACAUUGUUAUUACCUUGGAGGCUUUCGACAAAUUUGUUCCUGAUUUCUCUAUUGAGUGCCUUCUGUUCUGAUCCACUGCUAUCAAUUACAUCCUUAUUGUGGCUGCAUUUUUUGCCAUUCUUUUCCUCACGUGACAGCAUUUUGGUUGCAUCUCGCACAUGCCCAUCCAGCGAAUCCUCAGAGGAAUCACUUUCUUUUUUCCUCAAGGAUUUGGUUAUUUCAGAAGUAACUAUAAUGUCAAUUGGUGAAUAUCUUAAUUCUCUCACCUUCUGUGAUUUUCCUGCAUGUAUCAAACUGGUAUCCACAAUGGUGAACUUUGUAAGGUUUGAGCCAUGACCAUCAAAUGUUUUAUCAUAGCAUUUAGCAUUAUUGAUAUUCUUUUCACCAUCCAAUGACAUGUCAACAGCAUCUAACUCAUUGUCGUUCAGUGAGUUCUCUGAAAACAUCAUUUCAAUGCUACUUGAGAGAGUUGUAAGUAAGGAUUUAACUUUCAAAUCUUCCGGUGCAUAUCUCAUUUCUCUCAUCUUGGAUGAUUUUCCUCCAUCAAGCAAACCAGAAUCAACAACAGUGAACUUCACAAGAUUCAGAUUGUAAUUAGAAACUCGUGGUUUAAGGUACUGAAAGGAUUGCUGAAUGGAUGCAUCAUUGUGACCUGACGGAACUCCUACAACCCACCUGUCCUCUUCAUUGCAACUGCUGCCUCUAGCUUCUUCAGAAUCAAGCUCAAUAAGUUUUGGUUCGGAUGCCACUUUGCUCAAAACAUCACUGACAGAAUCAAAGUAGUGGUUACCUUUCACAAGUUUCCUUUUUGAAAACUUCUUAACACCAGGAAUGAGAAAGACCAGAUGAUGGUUGGGACCCACAUAACUCUGAUUGUUUGGUUGCUCAGAGUGCCACCCUCUUGCUAGCAAACGGGGCCAAACAGCUUCCCAGAAUAUAUCAUUAGAACGAGCUUUGCUCAAACGGAAGCCCCCAGUCAACAGCUUGAUUAUGUCACUGGAAGUCAAAGAGGAGCAAGCUUUGCCGAUUGGGCAAACAGUGAACAAAGGAUUGCUUCUUGCAGGUUCCAUGGCAAGACUUGUCAGGUCUUCCUUCCCCUUACCAAUUCCAAUAGCAUCUACAAGAGCUUGAAUGCCAACAACGGCCCUUAAAUUGGAGACAUAAUCUUCUAGAGAAAAUUUUCCCUCCGAAAAUGCUGUAGAGACCUCUAAAAAAUUGUUUUGAGAAUGCACUGGGACAUGGGGAUGCAAACGAGAGAGCAGCUCCUGUUGUCUCCACCCUGUAAAAAUUUUCUGUCCAUAGAUGCAUUUCUUUCGUUUUGUCUUCUGGCAAUCUGACCAUCUGUUAUAUCCAUCAGACCUAUAAAAUUCCCCAUAGUAAAAGGAUAAUAUUUCCCCUAUCUUUUUGUUUUCCAGGAAUCUCUCUAUCUGAACAAAAUUUUUCCCAAAUAUAUAUAAACCAAGAAUAAAACUAUCAACAUCAGCAUCACUCCAUGGAUGAUUUAAUACAACAGGAACAGGAUCGUUACGUUUGCUUUUAUGCAGCUGAGAUAAGUUAGCUUCCCCUGCCUCCUGGGGCCCAAGAAUUGCUGGUUUUGGUUCCUUUCCAUCAACAAAGCCAAGAUCCAAUGGUUCCGCAUUUUGAUUUGAGCCUUUCUUCUUCAGAAUAUUAUUCUUUCUAUUUGUUCUAGAUUUGUUUGACCAGGUUGCAAGGACUGAAUCAUCAGGGCUACUCAUUCUGCACCCUUCAUCCUCUAUAUUAUUUAUUGUAUUAUGGACCCAAGUAACAAGGAUCGGUAAACCAAUUAGAAAAGAAUGAGAAUCAUCAAUUGUGACUUCUGAAUCAAAAGGGUCCAGUAAAAGCUGAAAAUGCUCAUAUUCCGAUAUCAUAGGAGGAAUUUCUGCCUGAUACUCAUCACCAACUCGGGGAUUCACCUGUGGAUCUCCAGAUAUGCCACUUAUCUCAGGAGAGCUUGGAAGAACUAACUGCUGAAAAGAUGAUUCUUCAAUAGAAUUGCAAUCAUUAUUCGGGGGAAUUGGCUCCAUCUGAAAUGCCUUUAUACAAUAAGAAUCAUAAGAGCAAUAACUCAAAAAGAAAGGUAGGAAAGGAAAGGAUAUCAUAUAAUUGAUCAAUGAUGCACGCAGGUGCAUGUUCACUGGACAUUUUGUGACUUGAGCACACAAAUCCAAAAUUUAUGACAAAUAAGCAAGCAAACUGACUACAUAAAUGGGAUGUUCCAUGCA